rnacentral:rRNA from 1 species
GAUGAACGCUGGCGGCGUGCCUAACACAUGCAAGUCGAGCGAACCCUUCGGGGUGAGCGGCGGACGGGUGAGUAACGCGUGGGUAACCUGCCCUAUACACACGGAUAACGUACCGAAAGGUACGCUAAUACGGGAUAAAGUUGUUGGAUGGCAUCUUCUAACAAUCAAAGCUCCGGCGGUAAAGGAUGGACACGCGUCUGAUUAGCUAGUUGGUGAGGUAAUGGCUCACCAAGGUGACGAUCAGUAGCCGAGCGGAGAGGGUGAUCGGCCACACUGGAACGGAGACACGGUCCAGUCACCUACGGGAGGCAGCAGUGGGGAAUAUUGCACAAUGGGCGAAAGCCUGAUGCAGCAACGCCGCGUGAGCGAUGAAGGUCUUCGGAUCGUAAAGCUCUGUCCUCAAGGAAGAUAAUGACGGUACUUGAGGAGGAAGCCCCGGCUAACUACGUGCCAGCCGCCGCGGUAA